UCCAGAGUGAAGUUUGCUUUGGCUGGUCC
rnacentral:piRNA from 1 species